rnacentral:rRNA from 1 species
GACGAACGCUGGCGGCGUGCUUAACACAUGCAAGUCGAACGGAAAGGCCCUGCUUUUGUGGGGUGCUCGAGUGGCGAACGGGUGAGUAACACGUGAGUAACCUGCCCUUGACUUUGGGAUAACUUCAGGAAACUGGGGCUAAUACCGGAUAGGAGCUCCUGCUGCAUGGUGGGGGUUGGAAAGUUUCGGCGGUUGGGGAUGGACUCGCGGCUUAUCAGCUUGUUGGUGGGGUAGUGGCUUACCAAGGCUUUGACGGGUAGCCGGCCUGGGAGGGUGACCGGCCAAAUUGGGACUGAGAUACGGCCCAGACUCCUACGGGAGGCAGCAGUGGGGAAUAUUGCACAAUGGGCGGAAGCCUGAUGAAGCAACGCCGCGUGCGGGAUGACGGCCUUCGGGUUGUAAACCGUUUUCGCCUGUGACGAAGCGUGAGUGACGGUAAUGGGUAAAGAAGCACCGGCUAGCUACGUG